rnacentral:tRNA from 1 species
UCCGAUGUAGCUCAGUUGGUAGAGCAAAUGACUGUUAAUCAUUGGGUCGCAGGUUCGAGUCCUGCCAUCGGAGCCA